rnacentral:rRNA from 1 species
GAUGAACGCUGGCGGCGUGCUUAAUACAUGCAAGUCGAACGAAGGGAGGUGGAGGCUUGCUUCCAGCAAUCUUAGUGGGAAAGGGGAGUGUAACGCGGAUUACACCUGCACUUCAGUGGGGGAAAACAGGUGGAAACUACUUCUAAUACCGCAUACGUUCUAAUCUCGGCAUCCAGGAUAGAUGAACGGUCUCCUCUACACGUAAGCAAUGACUGGCGGAGGGGAUUGCGUCUGAUUAGCUAGUUGGUGGGGGAACGGCCGAUCAAUGCGAUGAUCAGUAGGCGGUCUGGGGGGGUGAACGGCCCCAUCUGGACUGGGACACGGCCCCAGCUCCUACGGGAGGGAGGAGUUGGGGAUCUUCCGCAAAGGACGAAAGUCUGACGGAGCAACCCCGCGUGGGGGAUUGCGGGCCUCGGGAUGUAAAGCUCUGUUAAUCGGGACGAAAGACCUUCUUGCGAAUAGGGGCAAGGCUUGACGGUACCGAAACAGAAAGCCACGGCUAACUACGUG